GACGAACGCUGGCGGCGUGCUUAACACAUGCAAGUCGAACGGAAAGGCCCUGCUUUUGUGGGGUGCUCGAGUGGCGAACGGGUGAGUAACACGUGAGUAACCUGCCCUUGACUUUGGGAUAACUUCAGGAAACUGGGGCUAAUACCGGAUAGGAUCUCCUGCUGCAUGGAGGGGGUUGGAAAGUUUCGGCGGUUGGGGAUGGACUCGCGGCUUAUCAGCUUGUUGGUGGGGUAGUGGCUUACCAAGGCUUUGACGGGUAGCCGGCCUGAGAGGGUGACCGGCCACAUUGGGACUGAGAUACGGCCCAGACUCCUACGGGAGGCAGCAGUGGGGAAUAUUGCACAAUGGGCGGAAGCCUGAUGCAGCAACGCCGCGUGCGGGAUGACGGCCUUCGGGUUGUAAACCGCUUUCGCCUGUGACGAAGCGUGAGUGACGGUAAUGGGUAAAGAAGCACCGGCUAACUACGUG
rnacentral:rRNA from 1 species